UACGUAGGGUGCAAGCGUUGUCCGGAAUUAUUGGGCGUAAAGAGCUCGUAGGCGGUCUGUCGCGUCGGCUGUGAAAACUCGGGGCUCAACCCCGAGCCUGCAGUCGAUACGGGCAGACUAGAGUGCGGUAGGGGAGACUGGAAUUCCUGGUGUAGCGGUGAAAUGCGCAGAUAUCAGGAGGAACACCAGUGGCGAAGGCGGCUCACUGGCCCGUAACUGACGCUGAGGUGCGAAAGCGUGGGGAGCAAACAGG
rnacentral:rRNA from 1 species